GACGAACGCUGGCGGCGUGCUUAACACAUGCAAGUCGAACGGAAAGACCCGGCUUUUGUGGGGUGCUCGAGUGGCGAACGGGGGAGUAACACGUGAGUAACCUGCCCUUGACUUUGGGAUAACUUCAGGAAACUGGGGCUAAUACCGGAUAGGAGCUCCUGCUGCAUGGUGGGGGUUGGAAAGUUUCGGCGGUUGGGGAUGGACUCGCGGCUUAUCAGCUUGUUGGUGGGGUAGUGGCUUACCAAGGCUUUGACGGGUAGCCGGCCUGAGAGGGUGACCGGCCACAUUGGGACUGAGAUGCGGCCCAGACUCCUACGGGAGGCAGCAGUGGGGAAUAUUGCACAAUGGGCGGAAGCCUGAUGCAGCAACGCCGCGUGCGGGGUAACGGCCUUCGGGUUGUAAACCGCUUUCGCCUGUGACGAAGCGUGAGUGACGGUAAUGGGUAAAGAAGCCCCGGCUAACUACGUG
rnacentral:rRNA from 1 species